rnacentral:rRNA from 1 species
AUGACAAGCCGCCGCCACCGCUCGCCGCCCCGGGCGGCGCUGGACAACGACGACCUGCUCCUGGAGAUCCUCCUACACCUCCCGCCGCGACCCUCUUCCCACCCCCGCGUCUCGCUCGUAUGCAACCGCUGGCGCCACCUCGCCUUCGACCCCGGUUUCCUCCGCUGCUUCCGCAUCCACCACAGCUGCAGCGCUCCCAUCCUCGGUUGCUUCGUGGAGCGAGCCCACGGCAUGUCCUUCGAACCUACUCUGGAGGCCCCCAAUCGUGUCCUGCCGGGGCGCUUCUCCUUACGGUUCGACGAAGACGACCUUUUGAGCCUCCUCAAUUGCCGCCAUGGUCGCGUGCUCGUCCACAACCAGACACGAGGCAAGUUCCUUGUUUGGGACCCCAUCACCGGCGACCAGCAUCACCUAGCCAGCCCCGCGGGGUUUGAUUCGAAGACAACGGAGAUCAGCGGGUGUGCCAGGGGAGACGUCCAACACUUUGAGGUGGUCUUUGUAUUCUACGACCAGACAUACAACAUGGACCGGCAGCAAUCGCCUGCGUUUACUCGUCAGAGACGAGCUUAUGGGGUGACAUCAUCUCAACACCGCUUCUAUGGUUGA